UUAAUAGCAUAUUCAUUUGACGUUAGCUGCAGAAGAAGCACCGGCUAACUCCGUGCCAGCAGCCGCGGUAAUACGGAGGGUGCGAGCGUUAAUCGGAAUUACUGGGCGUAAAGCGCAUGCAGGUGGUUGUUAAGUCAGAUGUGAAAGCCCGGGGCUCAACCUCGGAAUUGCAUUUGAAACUGGCAAACUAGAGUACUGUAGAGGGGGUAGAAUUCGGGUGUAGCGGUGAAAUGCGUAGAGAUCUGAAGGAAUACCGGUGGCGAAGGCGGCCCCCUGGACAGAUACUGACACUCAGAUGCGAAAGCGUGGGGAGCAAACAGGAUUAGAUACCCUGGUAG
rnacentral:rRNA from 1 species